rnacentral:piRNA from 1 species
UCGGGUCCUGAGCUUAAAUACAUUUCCCC